UGUUUUUUGUUCACACGCUAAAAAUUUUCAUAUAAAAAAUAAAAAUUAUAAUCAAUAACAGCAGAUUAUAAAAUGAUAAUCAAAGGCCCACCCAGGAAAAAAGAAAAAGAAAAAAAAAUGGUUGGCCUUAUAUUCAACUCAAAACAAAAAAACAUAACAAUACAAGAAUUGAGCUAUUUUUUUCCUUAUAUAUCUUCUUCAAGAACAAACCAAACUAUUCGACGCGUUUUUCUUCAAAGUCCGAUGCUUUGAUGAAUUAAUUCCGUCAAAAACCCUAAAAUAGCCCUUAUGUCCGCAGGCAAGUUUUGAAUAGCAACAGAAUCCCUAAUCUUUUAAUCUGAAAACUCCGAUCCAGAAUCUUCAACAAAUAGCUGCAAAUUCCUUGAUCGCCGACGCCGAUUAACAAAAUUAAAUCUCCAGAGAGAGAGAGAAAUCACGAACUUGGAAAACCAAUUUCAGCGAUUAAUCGAACGGCAAAAAUGAAAUCUCCUUCGGUUGAAUAAAGAGAGAUCAACACGAAUUAUUCCUCAAUCGCCGACUGAAUGAAAUCGCGAAGUCGAGAAAAUGAAACUUGAGAAUCUCCGAUGAGAAAAGAAUGCCAAAAUCGAUAAGUUGAGAUGAUUUGUUGAUGCAAUUUGCUAAGUGCCUGAGCGAGAAACUUGAGUGAUAAUCAUGGUGCGUGAACCCCGAUUAGGGUUUGUAUUUUGUGAGAGCGAUAGAGAGACAGGCAGGGGGUUUUCAGGUGGUUAUUGUGAACGCUUGGCGGAUAUAUAUAUUUCUAUAUAAUUAUGAAGGAUAUAUAUAUAUGAUGCUAAGAUUA
rnacentral:lncRNA from 1 species